GGCAGGAGGGUGCAGGGUUGGGAAAUGGAUGAAGGUGAUCAAAACAUACAAACUUCCAGUUAUAAGAUAAAUAAGUUCUGGGGCUCUAUUGAAAAGCAUGAUGCCU